rnacentral:lncRNA from 1 species
UAACCAGACAAUGAAAAUAUAAAUAAAUAAAUGUAAAAUUAUUUGUGUUUGGGACGCUGUGAGCACGGAGACUGUAGUGUACACCGUGAGUUUGAAAAGGGUUAUCUUAAAUGUAUAAUAUGAAUAAACAGUGCUAAUAAACGCCUGCUGAGGUAGUAUUCUCAAGUGAAGCGAGUUGAGCACUUAACAACCGAAUAAGACCAGUGCAUUAGUUUGUAACUCACUUUAUUUUAUACAGUGUUUUUGUUGCUGUUGCUGCUAACUCAACAUAUUUCUUCAUCUCAUUAACAUCAUCAUCUCCAGGUCACACUGAACAGCAGAUUGUUGUCUCAAGCAGUGCUGAUCAAUGACAGUUUAGCUGCAGUAUGUCAGAGAAGAGAGGAAAGAUGAGUCUCUCACAGAAACUGAGUGUAAGAUCAGGAUCACAUGUGUCUGUGAAGAGUGACCGGUCAAAGGGUGAAGGACCGAACUUCAGUGAGAAAAAAACAUCUAUCGAAAGGUAUUUAUUAUCUUUGACAUUAUAAUUUUGUGUUGGCUUAUUUCUCCACUUGUGAUAUAAAUGAAUGAAAUAAAACAAUAAACCACUGAUUUCCUCUUUAUUGAACUCAGUCUGGAGCUUCUUUCCAGUAACACAAUCACACAAGCAGCCACAAGGAGGUAUAAAUUAACCAUGGAAAAUAGAUCAUGCAGCCAAACAUGAAUAUGUCUUUCCAUCUAUCCAUAGUCAUAGAUGGACAAAUGCAUGUCUAUACUGUGCUUCAUUACCAUCCUCAACAGUGAAGCUCUUUAAAUGAGACUGAAGGAGCUCCUGUAGUAAAGUGUUUUGUUCUUUGUGUCAUUAGUGUAAGAUCAGGCUCACCAUGUGUCCAGCUCUGUGUCUGUGAAGAGUGACCAGUCAAAGGAAGAACCACCGAAAUUCAGUGAAGAAACAGCAUCACAAACCAAAUUACUGUUUCUUAUUUUUGUUUUACACAUAGACUGUGUCAGAAAGUCAUAAAACUUAUUAGUCCAUAAAUUUAUCACAGUAUUGUUUUUCUCUUUGCUAAAAUAUUUACAAGAUAUUUUGGUCAUUUUUCCUAAAAAUGCAGUAUUUUGAUUUAUUUUAUUUACUGUCAGGCUUAAGUAUGAAACAUUAGAUCCAGAUUUACAGUCUCACAGGAACCACAAGAAUUUUACAGACAGUCUCCUGCAGAUCUUCCAGGUAAUAAAACACAUUUUCAAGAAUAUUUAAUAAUUAUAAUAAACAAAUAUGUUAUUGAAAAAGAAUUUGAC